UUUCCGUAUGUGAACCUGCGGAAGGAUCAUUAACACGUUCCAAACCUAAUCAACCAACCUGUGAACUUGUAUCUGCCUGCUGAGCGAGCUGCAUGCAGCCCAUCUCUCAGGCCCACCAUAAAUUCCUAUGGGGCUAUCUUGCUUCUCAAUCAAUCACUGAUUGAUAGGUAUGGAUCAGUCUCUCCAUAGCCAUUUAUUCUAUUUUUUUCACGCCCUGGUGCCUCCUUCUUCGGAAUGAGGAACUGCUGUUAAUCAAUAUCUACUUUUUGCUCUCUAUGUAGAUUUUAAGUGUCGAUCAGCGGAUGUAUGCUGUCUAUCUUAGACAUGUGUAGAUUGGCCCGACUGCUAUGUGAGUAGUAAUCAUAAUAUCAAUGAAUAAGAGAACAACUCUUAGCAAUGGAUAUCUUGGUUCUC
rnacentral:misc_RNA from 1 species